UAAAGACUGGAAUUGAAUAGUAGGUCCUUUUGGUACUGUUCUAUUACGAUUAGUGGCUAAGAGAUGCAUCAGUUCGACUAGGCAUUAUCAUGUAUUGUAUCGUAGUAUCAUUUUUGCAUAGACUAAAUACCUACUUUUGCUGAAGGUUACUUUUCUUAAUAAAAUUUGGUUCAGGAUGCCGUUUUGCCUGUUGUAGUACUUUCAGCAUAGAUGCAGUAGUGGUCUGCUCCCCCAAAGAUCUGUAGCUCGUGGAUGCGGUGGAUGUGGCACAGGGAGCAGAUGAAAUGGGAAUAAGAGGAUCCCCUGCACGUGCACAAAUUCUUGCUACCUGAUGGCUGACGGUGAGGGUGAGCACCGAUUUGUAAACUCGUCUCCCUUCCCUGCAAACUACAGUUCUUGUCAAUUAACCAAAUCACCAUCUUAUUUUUUCCUACUUUUCCCUUAUUUCUUAGAUGCCUCUGACCUGUCUUGAGAAGGUUCGAGCUGCAGGACGAUGUGUACAGUGCACCACCAAUUCCUCCAACAGCACAGCUGUUGUACUGGUAGCAGCGACAACAACUCUCCACACAAGCAUCGCUAGCUGCUCCCGUCGAUGCACCUGAUGCCGU
rnacentral:lncRNA from 1 species